CUGUUAGAGCUGGAAAUUGUCCUGGGGAGGGGUGGCCCAGAUGGCUACUCUCUGCUCAAACCUGUGCCUGUCCUUCUGUACUGUGGAGUCAACUGAAGCAGCCACGUGAGGGAGAAAGAAACGGAUUACUUUAAGCCACGGAAGCUUGGGAGGUGUUGUUGACAUCGCGGAAGGAAGUGUCAACGUAACCAACACAGUAAAGUUGGGAGCAGGUGGUGAGAGCGGCCGUCCAGGGCCCUGAAGUUCCAGAGGCUGGGAAGUCCAAGAUCAAGGCCCUGGCAGAUUUGGUGUCUGAUGAGAGCCCCUUCUUUGGUUCACCUGGUAGAAGGGACAAGACAUCUCUUUGGACUCCCUUUUA